rfam:Callithrix jacchus chromosome 19, whole genome shotgun sequence
UUUUUAGUAUAAGUAUGUCCCCAGUAGUGUAUGGGACAUACUUAUACUAAAA